AACCAACAGGGAUUGCCCCAGUAACGGCGAGUGAAGCGGCAACAGCUCAAAUUUGAAAUCUGGCCCCUCCGGGUCCGAGUUGUAAUUUGUAGAGGAUGCUUUUGGUGAGGUGCCGCCCGAGUUCCCUGGAACGGGACGCCACAGAGGGUGAGAGCCCCGUCUGGCUGGCCACCGAGCCUCUGUAAAGCUCCUUCGACGAGUCGAGUAGUUUGGGAAUGCUGCUCAAAAUGGGAGGUAUAUGUCUUCUAAAGCUAAAUAUUGGCCAGAGACCGAUAGCGCACAAGUAGAGUGAUCGAAAGAUGAAAAGCACCUUGAAAAGAGGGUUAAACAGUACGUGAAAUUGUUGAAAGGGAAGCGCUUGUGACCAGACUUGGGCGCGGCGGAUCAUCCGGGGUUCUCUCCGGUGCACUUCGCCGCGUUCAGGCCAGCAUCAGUUCGUCGCGGGGGAAAAAGGCUUCGGGAACGUGGCUCCUCCGGGAGUGUUAUAGCCCGUUGCAUAAUACCCUGCGGUGGACUGAGGACCGCGCAUCUGCAAGGAUGCUGGCGUAAUG
rnacentral:rRNA from 3 species